CUCAUGGUUUCACGGUAUUGCAAUGAGAACAAUUUAAAACCCUUAGCGAGAAUCAAGUGGAGGACAAGUCUGGUGCCAGCACCCGCGGUAAUUCCAGCUCCACUAGCGUAUAUUAAAGUUGUUGCAGUUAAAAAGCUCGUAGUUGAACCUCUGUCUGGGGCUAGUUUUGGCUUUGGUCAGGCUAGUUCUAGGCAUCCGCCUACAAGACUUAGAGGGCAUUCAGUUGUUCACUAGGAGGAGUAGGCAUUUUACUUUGAAAAAAUUAGAGUGUUUAAGGCAGGCAAUCGCCCGCAUAUAUUAGCAUGGAAUAAUAGAAUAGGACACUUUUCCAUUUCGUUGGUUAUUGGAAUCGUGUAAUGAUUAAUAGGGACAGUUGUGGGCAUUUGUAUUUAAUUGUCAGAGGUGAAAUUCUUGGAUUUAUUAAAGACAAACUAACGCGAAAGCAUUUGCCAAGGAUGUUUUCAUUAAUCAAGAACGAAAGUUAGGGGAUCAAAGACGAUCAGAUACCGUCCUAGUCUUAACUAUAAACUAUUCCGACUCAAUGUUUGACUGGCUUAUAUAACCAGUUGAGCGUUGUAUGAGAAAUCAAAGUCUUUAGGUUCUGGGGGGAGUAUGGUUGCAAAGCUGAAACUUAAAGGAAUUGACGGAAGAGCACAACCAGGAGUGGAUUCUGCGGCUUAAUUUGACUCAACACGGGGAAACUUACCAGGUUAAAACAAUAGUGGGAUUGACAGUUUGAGAGCGCUUUCUUGAUUGGUUGGGUGGUGGUGCAUGGCCGUUCUUAGUUGGUGGAGUGAUUUGUCUGCUUAAUUGCGUUAACGAACGAGACCUUAACCUGCUUACUAGACUGGCGAUCAUCAAUCGUUAGCUCUUCUUAGAGGGACUUUGGUUGUUUUAACUCCAAGGAAGUUUGAGGCAAUAACAGGUCUGUGAUGCCCUUAGAUAUCCUGGGCCGCACGCGUCAUACAAUGACUAGUUCAGAAAGUUUUCUCCUGACCCGAAAGGGGAUGGGUAAUCUUGAUAAUACAGUCGUGUUAGGGAUCGAUCUUUGCAAUUAUAGAUCUUGAACGAGGAAUUCCUAGUAAGUGCGGUUCAUCAGACCGUACUGAUUACGUCCCUGCUCUUUGUACACACCGCCCGUCGCUUCUACCGAGUGGGUGGUCCGGUGAGAUAAUUGAACUUCGCAGGUAACUGAGAGGAAAGAUUAUCAAACCUAUCCACCU
rnacentral:rRNA from 1 species